rnacentral:rRNA from 1 species
UACGAAGGGGGCUAGCGUUGCUCGGAAUCACUGGGCGUAAAGGGUGCGUAGGCGGGUUUUUAAGUCAGGGGUGAAAUCCUGGAGCUCAACUCCAGAACUGCCUUUGAUACUGGGAAGCUUGAGUCCGGGAGAGGUGAGUGGAACUCCGAGUGUAGAGGUGAAAUUCGUAGAUAUUCGCAAGAACACCAGUGGCGAAGGCGGCUCACUGGCCCGAUACUGACGCUGAGGUGCGAAAGCGUGGGGAGCAAACAGG